rnacentral:rRNA from 1 species
AGUGAACGCUGGCGGUAGGCCUAACACAUGCAAGUCGAACGGCAGCACAGGAGAGCUUGCUCUCUGGGUGGCGAGUGGCGGACGGGUGAGGAAUACAUCGGAAUCUACUCUGUCGUGGGGGAUAACGUAGGGAAACUUACGCUAAUACCGCAUACGACCUACGGGUGAAAGCAGGGGAUCUUCGGACCUUGCGCGAUUGAAUGAGCCGGUGUCGGAUUAGCUAGUUGGCGGGGUAAAGGCCCACCAAGGCGACGAUCCGUAGCUGGUCUGAGAGGAUGAGCAGCCACAAUGGAACAGAGACACGGUCCAGACUCCUACGGGAGGCAGCAGUGGGGAAUAUUGGACAAUGGGCGCAAGCCUGAUCCAGCCAUACCGCGUGGGUGAAGAAGGCCUUCGGGUUGUAAAGCCCUUUUGUUGGGAAAGAAAUCCAGCUGGCUAAUACCCGGUUGGGAUGACGGUACCCAAAGAAUAAGCACCGGCUAACUUCGUGCCAGCCGCCGCCGUAA